rnacentral:rRNA from 1 species
GAUGAACGCUGGCGGUAUGCUUUACACAUGCAAGUCGAACGAUAUUUAUUUAUCGUGGCGAACGGGUGCGUAACACGUGAGAAUUUGCCUUAAGGUGUGGGAUACCUACUGGAAACGGUCGUUAAUACCACAUAUACUGAGGAGUAAAAGAGGAAACUUGCCUUAAGAGAAUCUUGCGGCUGAUUAGCUUGUUGGUGGGGUAAAGGCUUACCAAGGCAAUGAUCAGUAGCUGUUUUGAGAGGAUGAUCAGCCACACUGGGACUGAGAUACGGCCCAGACUCCUACGGGAGGCAGCAGUGAGGAAUUUUCCGCAAUGGGCGAAAGCCUGACGGAGCAAUACCGCGUGAAGGAUUGACGGCCCACGGGUUGUAAACUUCUUUUGUUGAGGAAGAAGGUAUGACGGUACUCAACGAAUAAGCAUCGGCUAACUCCGUGCCAGCCGCCGCCGUAACAC